CCUGCGCACGGGAGGGCCGGAAGUUGAGGUAGAAGUGACUCUACUUCCGUUUCUGGUUUUGCACCAGUAUUUGGGUUUCUUCGCGGCCGCCCAAGAUGAACCGAUUCUUCGGGAAAGCGAAACCCAAGGCUCCGCCGCCCAGCCUGACUGACUGCAUUGGCACGGUGGACAGCCGGGCAGAAUCCAUUGACAAGAAGAUUUCUCGAUUGGAUGCUGAACUAGUAAAGUAUAAGGAUCAGAUCAAGAAGAUGAGAGAGGGUCCUGCAAAGAAUAUGGUCAAGCAGAAAGCCCUGCGGGUUUUAAAGCAAAAGCGGAUGUAUGAGCAGCAGCGAGACAAUCUCGCCCAGCAGUCUUUCAACAUGGAACAAGCCAAUUACACCAUCCAGUCAUUGAAGGACACCAAGACC